AGAAAGACUCCUGAUUGUGGGUGAAGAGAUCUGAGGUUUGGUGUCUGGUGCCAUCACUCAUGAGGGAACCUUGGGCUCAUCUCUCGUCAGCUUCAGGUUCCCUUUCCAAGAGAGUCAGGAAGAAAGUCCAACAGGAGCUUUGCCAGUUCUGACAUUCUCUCACGUGAAUACACACAGCUUGCGUGGCAGCAUUCUGGUCUCAUGUCUUAGUCACAAAGGUACUCCACUGUAUCAGAAUAUUUUCCUUGGUUGUGACCUCAGGCCAGGCCACAGGUCAGGACAGAAGAUAACACAGGGACCAUAUUGCUAUGGAGAAGAAAACAAGAAGCUAUCUGUUUUUUCAAACAUAGAUGUGGAAUUAGGAAGUGAGAAAGAAAUGGAAUCUGGACUAAUCCAGUGGACUGGCAUGAUCUGCUGGGGCAGUUGUCUCGAACAUAUCAGUUCCAGCUGCUGAAACACUGGGACCAUAGAGCGGUGAUGGAAAUAAGAAGAUGAAGGUCAAUUAGGACCACGGUGGGGUUGGGGAAGACAAAGACUUUGGUUUCUGUCCUGUAGGCAGCUGAUGGGAUGCUCAUUGCAGGAAGGAUUCUGGAACUGAGUUUCAGAAUGAGCAUUCACAGGCUAUGUGAAAUCACACACUACAGGCUAGGAGUGGUCCAGGGGGCAAAAGCAACAGAUCAGGGAGAGGUCAGAAGCCUGAGCCAGGGUAGUGGCAAUGGGCUAGGAAAGAGAAGGACGUGGGCAGCAGAAUGGCUACAGUUUGGGAGUUAUCUGGACACCAGGGUAGCAUUCUGGUCAGUUUUAUAUCAACUUGGCACAAUCCAGAGUCAUUUAGAGUCAGACUCUAAACUGAGAAAUGCCUCCCUAAGGUUGGGCAAUAGGCAAGUGUGCGAUCUAUUUUUAAUUAAUGCUUGAUGUGGAUGGAAGUGGCAGUGGGGGGUUCGUCUGGGUAGUAUAAGCAAGCCAUGAGGAGCAAGUCAGUAAGCAGCAUUCUCCAUGGCCUCUGCUUCAGCCGCUGCCUCCAGGGACCUGCCUUGAGUUCCUGGCCUGCCCUCCCUUACUGAUGAAACACGACCUGAAAGUUAUAAGG
ensembl:lincRNA